rnacentral:misc_RNA from 1 species
GAUGAAGAACGUAGCGAAAUGCGAUAAGUAAUGUGAAUUGCAGAAUUCAGUGAAUCAUCGAAUCUUUGAACGCACCUUGCGCCCUUUGGCCAUUCCGAAGGGCAUGCCUGUUUGAGUAUCAUGAACACCUCAACUCUCAUGGCUCGCCAUGAUGAGCUUGGAUUUGGGGGUCUUGCUGGCCUGUGGUCGGCUCCUCUCAAAUGGAUCAGCUUGCCAGUGUUUGGUGGCAUCACAGGUGUGAUAACUAUCUGCGCUUGUGGUUUUCCAUAAGAUAACCUUCAGUGAUGGAGGUUCGCUGGAGCUCAUAAACGUCUCCCCUAAGCGGGGACAGCCCUUUGAAUGUUUGAUCUCAAAUCAGGUAGGACUACCCGCUGAACUUAAGCAUACAAUAAGCGGAGGA